AUACAGUAAUUUGAUGUUUCUUCUUAAUAUUGUUACCAAGGCAAAGUUAGAUAAAUUAAAUUAAAUUAAAUUAAAUUAAAUUAAAUUAAAAUUAAAAAAAUAAUUUCAAUUAAUAGUUAAAAGACAAUGCAAUGCCCGAAAACUACAAGAAAUAUUGGAUAUUUUAUGUGGUAUCAAAAUGCAAAUCUCCGUAAAAAUAAGCGACUCGCUGUUUACCAUGCACCUGUAGCCGUAAGAAACUCGUAUAAAAUAACAAAGAAGAGAAUACAUAUAUUCAAUUCAUGUGUAAUGAUCUCGCCAUUGUAAUCCACACAGAUUAAGGCUGUUUUCCAAUUUAAGCGUACCGUACCAAAACGUAUGAAACAGGAAUAAAACGUGAAGAAUGUGAAGAAACGCUUGAUACGAGAGUACACUCGGAAGUAGGCGAAUUUAUCAACCUAUUUUCAAUCCACUCAUGCUCAUUAGUACGUUUUAGUAUGAUUACGGUUGAAGUGGAAAUCGCUGGGCCGCCGGUGACUAUAUACAUGUAAGAUCAGUAGUCAACCAAAAAUAACCCCGGAAAACGUUAAUGGAUUUAUUAACAUUAUAUAUAGAUAAAAAUCCAUGUCAAACGAACCCUUGCAGAGAAAGUCAAAAGUGCACGCCAAUCAUAGCAACUGGAGGACGUAAUUGUACAUGCAAAGAACAGUUUAUUGAGAUAAAUGGAACUUGCGAACCAGUACCACCAGGUAAGAUCGCAUAUCGUAUUUAUAGAAUAGAUCCAAAGAAUGUUAAAAUUGUGAAACUGACAAAAUCUGUCAGUGUGCAAAAUAAAUAUUUUCUAAUACAAAAAUUUCAUCAUGCAUAGAGAAACACAUUGCAUAUCCUUUCAUGGAAAACACAAGUGAUUUUCGAGUUACGUGAUUUCUAUAGAGGAUGAGGGAGGUAACAGGAAAUUGCAUGGAAUGAUUGUUACACGUCCGAAAAAGAAAAUCUCUGCCAAUUGCUUGUAAUGAU